rnacentral:rRNA from 1 species
CUACGGGAGGCAGCAGUGGGGAAUAUUGCACAAUGGGGGAAACCCUGAUGCAGCCAUGCCGCGUGUGUGAAGAAGGCCUUCGGGUUGUAAAGCACUUUCAGCGAGGAGGAAAGGUGGCUAGCUAAUACCUAGUUGCUGUGACGUUACUCGCAGAAGAAGCACCGGCUAACUCCGUGCCAGCAGCCGCGGUAAUACGGAGGGUGCAAGCGUUAAUCGGAAUUACUGGGCGUAAAGCGCACGCAGGCGGUCAGAUAAGUCAGAUGUGAAAGCCCCGGGCUCAACCUGGGAACUGCAUUUGAAACUGUCUGACUAGAGUCUUGUAGAGGGGGGUAGAAUUCCAGGUGUAGCGGUGAAAUGCGUAGAGAUCUGGAGGAAUACCGGUGGCGAAGGCGGCCCCCUGGACAAAGACUGACGCUCAGGUGCGAAAGCGUGGGGAGCAAACAGGAUUAGAUACCCCGGU